UAGCUCAGUGGUAGAGCGUGUGCUUAGCAUGCACGAAGUCCUGGGUUCAAUCCCCAG
rnacentral:tRNA from 1 species